UCUGCCUACUAGAAUUACUGGUAACAGGUGAAAAAUAACUUCUUUUCAGUAUGGGAAGGACACACUCGGUACUGCUGGGUUUGGAAAGAACCAGUCAAAGCAGUGUUGGCUUCCUGAAUCAAACAACACCACAGUACCUAUUUCUCCUGGGAGAGGUAGUGUUACAGCUCUUGGAUGUGACAGUGGUAUCUGAUUGUUCCCAGCUGCCGAUCCUUUGUCAGCAGAUUCCUACGCAUGGGGUAUGCCAUUAGCAGUACAGUAGGUGUCACUGAUAAAAAUGUUAAAUAAAACUGGCCCCAGUAUUGAACGCUUUGGAACACCACCAGUGACCAGCUACCAACUGGACUGAACUCUGUUCACCUUGAGAGCAGCAAUCCAGACAGUAUUUCACACAGUAAACUUCACGUCUGUCCAAGCUAUGAGCAGCCAGUUUCUCCACAAGAAUGCUGUUGGUGUUACUUUACUAAAAUCCAGCUUUUCCCUUUUUAGCCCUUGAGCCUAUGCCAAUCCAAGAUCAACCAAAAAGAUUUUGAGAGAAAGAAUUUGUGGACUGAAUUAUUUCAAGUGCCAUGAAGUGUCCUCCACUCACUGUACAGAAGCUUAAGGAUACGACAAGAUAAAUUUCUCCUCCUCUGCACUUUUAUUGCACUAAUUACUCUUAUUGUUUUCCAUCCUGGUAAACGCUGUUUUUAAGGGGAAUAAAAGAGGUUUUUACGCUUCUUUUGAAGACUUGGACAUUGACACGAUACAAGAAGUAUUUAGAGUACUGGUGAAUGACAGAAACCUACAGUUUGAUUUCAGGAGAUGAAUGACCCCCAGCCUGAGGAAAGGGAAAAAUGGAACCCCCAGCAUGUCACAAUGGUAUUUUACUGAAAGCACCCCAGUAAGACAUAAUACAAAGCAGAGGACAACCUACAACGAUUCAUCAUGACCUGGAUCUUGAAAUGUCCUGUAGAUAUGUCAA
ensembl:lncRNA